UGGGGAAUAUUGCACAAUGGGCGCAAGCCUGAUGCAGCCAUGCCGCGUGUAUGAAGAAGGCCUUCGGGUUGUAAAGUACUUUCAGCGGGGAGGAAGGGAGUAAAGUUAAUACCUUUGCUCAUAGACGUUACCCGCAGAAGAAGCACCGGCUAACUCCGUGCCAGCAGCCGCGGUAAUACGGAGGGUGCAAGCGUUAAUCGGAAUUACUGGGCGUAAAGCGCACGCAGGCGGUUUGUUAAGUAAGAUGUGAAAUCCCCGGGCUCAACCUGGGAACUGCAUCUGAUACUGGCAAGCUUGAGUCUCGUAGAGGGGGGUAGAAUUCCAGGUGUAGCGGUGAAAUGCGUAGAGAUCUGGAGGAAUACCGGUGGCGAAGGCGGCCCCCUGGACGAAGACUGACGCUCAGGUGCGAAAGCGUGGGGAGCAAACAGG
rnacentral:rRNA from 1 species